rnacentral:lncRNA from 1 species
GGUCGCAGUGGUUUUACUCAGACAAUGUGGUGAGGAGAGAAACUUUUGUUGCGGUCUGUCAACUCCACUCCACGGUUCUCAAUUCCGGGGCACACAUCUCCAUUUGUGAUACCACUUUUGCCAGACAAUUCAGUUCCUUUGGUUGACAUUCGGGUCGGGCUACCGUCGGUGCGGACAAGGUAGGGAGCUAUAGCCUAACUACCCUUCAUAUUCUACAAAAUUACAUUAACACAAACACAGUUGUAGAACGUUAUACUCGGUGGCCGGGGUAGGCCACAAAGACCCAACUUUACGCACCAGCCGAGACUGUUUACAAGGCAAAUUAAUUUCCCACCUCAGUCAAUAGUUAUUUUAAUGACACGGUUCUAAUUUGCCGGAAAUUACCAGGCGCCGCAGUGUUCUUAUCUAGUAUGGCUGAAGCCAGAAGAGAAGAGGAGGCGGAGGAGUUGAGGGAUAUACGGAACCGAAAUCAAGCAACAGAUCGAACAGAGAGAAAUAAGUCUGAGGCUCUUCAUUCCAGGUAAGUAAUCCAUAUCAUUUGAAUUACAUAUUGGGCAUUUUCAAUGUGUCUGUCUUGCUCAAUACAGAGAAGGAAACGUGUUAAUAUUGUGAUAAUGUUGCACGGUCCAGUAUAAACACUGGGUUGUUCCAGCUCUACCUAGCCACCUCUGUUGCUCCACGGCUCUGUCAGGACUGCAGUGGCCAGAACACUGUCUCUUUAACAGGCAGCUCUGCUGAGGGAGAGUUGUGAAUGGUGCAGGGUAGCAAACAAUGCGCUGAUCCAUCCUCUUUGACAGACGGUCGGACACUGUGUCCACUGUGUCCGAAGGUCAGAGCUUUUUGAAUGGGGGACCAAACCACACUGACUCAGUUGUUGACGCCCCCAGAGCCAAGUUGGUUACCGUCCAGGGUUAGGGUCAAUUCCAUUUCAGUUCAGUAAACUGACUCCAACCCUGUAACCUUUCUUUCACAACAUGGUUUACCCUACCUAGAUAACUCUUUAAAACUCAGCACCUUUUCAGUGUCUUCCAAUCCAGGGUAUUGACACAGAAGGAGGCUGGUGGGAGGAGCUAUAGGAGGAAGGGCUCAUUGUAACUGCUGGAAUGGAAUAAAUAGAA